GAAAAGAAUGUGUAAAGGAUCCUUCCUUUACCAAAAUGUUACUAAAUUCUUCAUGUGGAGUUGUUGAAACCAAGUAUUGCAUCGGUCAGCCUGGUCUCCUGUUACCCUCAGCUUUUAAAGCAAGACUAUAUCUUGCUUUAAAUUUCAGAGUCUAGUGGAUCUUUAAUUGCACUGGAAAGAUGUUUUACAGUGUAUCCUGAUGAUAAAUUGCAUAUGAGGGCUCUUGGCAGUUGAAGUACACCUUAAUAAAGAAUGGAAAUUUGAGGAGAGGUACAGGCGUCUCCGCUCCCCCCAGCUUCUCUGGCUUAAACCUGUGUUUCCCUAAAUCCCGCUAAAGGCACUAACUACAUUGUAAUUGCGUGCUGUCCUGUUUUCCUGUUCUCUCUGAAGAAACUGAGGCACUGAUGGCAAACUGUGAACCGAGUGCCCAUCUCCUCUUUGAGAUGCUUUCUGAAGAUGCUGCUUCAGCUCUGUGGGUGUUCUCUUCCUCACUCAUGGCUUUUGCAAUCCUUGUCUGUGGCUUUUUGUGAUUGGCAAGGAAUGACUAGGGGCCAACAUAUUUUUAAAAUGUGGGUUCCAUUGCCAGCACCACAGAUGAAACUGUACUUAAGCUUUGCAGUCACAACACCAAGCGUGCUUUCCUGGCUCCGUUUGCUGACUGUACAGUCCUGAUGCUGUCAGGGUGUGUUCUCAGUCACACAGUGGGACAGCCUUGCUCACUCAGUGUGUCUAUCUUCUGUAUUUUAUGCCCAUGUAUUAUUAGAUCUUUAGUCACUCAUUAUAGGUGAUAUCAAUGAUAUUUAUUAGUAUUUGUUAUAAAAUAUAUUUGUUUUUAAUGUGUAUUGACUAAUUUAAGUCAAUAGUUUUAAGAUACUUGAAAAAGAAAAUAAAUAUUUUAUUGGCUACAAUUU
rnacentral:lncRNA from 1 species